UGCCUUCUCCUCUUCCCCAGGAGACCUUCUCAGCUCUCGCUCUCACCUGUGUUUCCUUCCAGCGUCCCCAGACACAGCUGCCAUCAAUGACUCCCUACUCCAAAGUGUUGGAGAGAAAGAGAGAGACACCCAGGCUCCUGGGGCCUGCCGUCCAGAGCCAGACCACAUGGCCACCCUCAAGACGUGGGAUGGGCCCAGAGAGACAUGUCCUAGCAGGUCACCAGGCUAUGCAGAUGCUUAGUCUGCAUUAAAUAAAGUUGCCUUCCCUGGA
rnacentral:lncRNA from 1 species